rnacentral:rRNA from 1 species
GUCGGAGCUGCUAUCGGUAUUGGAAACAUCCUUAGUUCUUUGAUUCAUUCCAUGGCGCAAAAUCCAUCAUUGGCUAACCAAUCAUUUGAUUAUGCCAUUUUGGGCUUUUCUCUCACCAAUGCUAUCGCAUUGUUUGUCCCAAUGAUGGCUUUUCUGAUCUCAUUUGUUUUUCGAUCGCAUAAAAUUCAUGAGAUCAAAAAAGAAAUGUGA